rnacentral:rRNA from 1 species
GGCUCAGAUUGAACGCUGGCGGCAUGCCUUACACAUGCAAGUCGAACGGUAACAGGUUAAGCUGACGAGUGGCGAACGGGUGAGUAAUAUAUCGGAACGUGCCCAGUCGUGGGGGAUAACGUAGCGAAAGCUACGCUAAUACCGCAUACGAUCUAUGGAUGAAAGCGGGGGAUCGCAAGACCUCGCGCGAUUGGAGCGGCCGAUAUCAGAUUAGCUAGUUGGUGGGGUAAAGGCUCACCAAGGCGACGAUCUGUAGCUGGUCUGAGAGGACGACCAGCCACACUGGAACUGAGACACGGUCCAGACUCCUACGGGAGGCAGCAGUGGGGAAUUUUGGACAAUGGGCGCAAGCCUGAUCCAGCAAUGCCGCGUGCAGGACGAAGGCCUUCGGGUUGUAAACUGCUUUUGUACGGAGCGAAACGGCUCUCUCUAAUACAGGGGGCUAAUGACGGUACCGUAAGAAUAAGCACCGGCUAACUACGUGCCAGCAGCCGCGGUAAUACGUAGGGUGCAAGCGUUAAUCGGAAUUACUGUGCGUAAAGCGUGCGCAGGCGGUUUUGUAAGACAGAUGUGAAAUCCCCGGGCUCAACCUGGGACCUGCAUUUGUGACUGCAAGGCUAGAGUACGGCAGAGGGGGAUGGAAUUCCGCGUGUAGCAGUGAAAUGCGUAGAUAUGCGGAGGAACACCGAUGGCGAAGGCAAUCCCCUGGGCCUGUACUGACGCUCAUGCACGAAAGCGUGGGGAGCAAACAGGAUUAGAUACCCUGGUAGUCCACGCCCUAAACGAUGUCAACUGGUUGUUGGGUCUUCACUGACUCAGUAACGAAGCUAACGCGUGAAGUUGACCGCCUGGGGAGUACGGCCGCAAG